AUUGAACGCUGGCGGCAGGCCUAACACAUGCAAGUCGAGCGGGGUUUUCGGACCUAGCGGCGGACGGGUGAGUAAUGCGUAGGAAGCUACCCGAUAUAGGGGGAUACCAGUUGGAAACGACUGUUAAUACCGCAUAAUGUCUACGGACCAAAGUGUGGGACCUUCGGGCCACAUGCUAACGGAUGCGCCUACGUGGGAUUAGCUAGUUGGUGAGGUAAUGGCUCACCAAGGCGACGAUCCCUAGCUGGUUUGAGAGGAUGAUCAGCCACACUGGAACUGAGACACGGUCCAGACUCCUACGGGAGGCAGCAGUGGGGAAUAUUGGACAAUGGGCGCAAGCCUGAUCCAGCCAUGCCGCGUGUGCGAAGAAGGCCUUCGGGUUGUAAAGCACUUUCAGUAGGGAGGAAGCGUUGUGUGUUAAUAGUACACAGCGUUGACGUUACCUACAGAAGAAGCACCGGCUAACUCUGUGCCAGCCGCCGCAGUAAAAC
rnacentral:rRNA from 1 species